GGGACCAAUCAAACCCCUGUAACCAGUCCGGCUUCGAAGCUGAGGUACUCUUCUUUAAGACGAAAUCGAAGGUAUGUCUAUCCCUCCGGUCAAGUUUUUACUGGCAAUUCCUUUCAUGAUUAAGUCUGUUUCCUUACUGUCCUUUCAAGAAAAGCUGUUCUAUUGGAACAACUAAACAAAAUAUAUUUUAAAUGUUUGAUAAUUUUGCUUCCUUUCAGACAGCAUCUUCAUGUUUAUGUAUCAAAUUUCUAUUGGAAGUUAAAUCAAGGACACAAGUUCACAUAUUUAUUUGUUUCUAAUUCAAUAUAAUUAAGUUCAAUAGGCAUCUGAAUGAAUUGAUUUUAUUACUUGGUUUGUGAUUGAAUCAAAGCAAUAUUUUCUCUUUUUUUUCCUUUUGAUGAAAAUACAGCUUCUGAAAUACUACCAAAGAAGCACUGAAGCGAGCAAGUUUACAGCAGCUGCAACCCCACUCACCACAUCAUUUUCGGUGGAAAGCUUCAUUUGUUUGGAAGAAACCAAUCGUAAGGCUUCUUAUUCCUUGAUAGUUUUG
rnacentral:lncRNA from 1 species